rnacentral:lncRNA from 1 species
UCUUCCAUCAGAGAAGAUUGUGACAUUUUCUGAGCCCAGCACUCAAGUGAGGUGACUUGUCUCCCUGGACUCUCCCCACAGACAGCAUUGUGAAAUAUCUUUGGGAUCAUCACCUAGGUAACACAACUGACCAGAAGAAAAACAGCCUAGAUCCUGAGCAUUCAGCCUGUAUAUUCCAGAGCAGCCUCUCAAAAUCACCUAAACAAGAUGGAACAAGGAACACAUAUGUGAUAUCAUAUUUAUUUAUUUUUAUGAUAUAAUAACGUAAAAUUUUGUCAGUUAAUUUUAUAAGAAAAUUGAGUUAAAUUGUGUAACAACAUUAACAUAUAAAGAAGCUUAGAGUCACGGUGAAAGAUGAAAGAGGAGCAGGCAUCUCACAUGGUGGACCAGUAAACAAUUCAUCUUUCUUAUCAAGGCAAAGGAGGUGGAGCCAGACGUACAGGGCGGAACAUGAAAGUGGACCAGGAGCGUGACCGCUGAAGCACAGCACCACA